rnacentral:piRNA from 1 species
UGCAGUACACUCUCUGUGACCCCAGAC